AGUGAACGCUGGCGGUAGGCCUAACACAUGCAAGUCGAACGGCAGCACAGGAGAGCUUGCUCUCUGGGUGGCGAGUGGCGGACGGGUGAGGAAUACAUCGGAAUCUACUCUGUCGUGGGGGAUAACGUAGGGAAACUUACGCUAAUACCGCAUACGACCUACGGGUGAAAGCAGGGGACCUUCGGGCCUUGCGCGAUUGAAUGAGCCGAUGUCGGAUUAGCUAGUUGGCGGGGUAAAGGCCCACCAAGGCGACGAUCCGUAGCUGGUCUGAGAGGAUGAUCAGCCAAACUGGAACUGAGACACGGUCCAGACUCCUACGGGAGGCAGCAGUGGGGAAUAUUGGACAAUGGGCGCAAGCCUGAUCCAGCCAUACCGCGUGGGUGAAGAAGGCCUUCGGGUUGUAAAGCCCUUUUGUUGGGAAAGAAAUCCAGCUGGCUAAUACCCGGUUGGGAUGACGGUACCCAAAGAAUAAGCACCGGCUAACUUCGUGCCAGCCGCCGCCGUAA
rnacentral:rRNA from 1 species